rnacentral:lncRNA from 1 species
UCCCAAAUCAAAACCUCACUUAAAAUCAGACUCUUCCCUAAACUCGAUCAAAAUCAUCAGAUGAAGCCUUCUACUACGCUAAUCCUAGAGGAAUAACUUUAGAGAGAGAGAAAUUCAUCAAGAGAGAGAAAUAACCUAGAGAGAGAAAAUUUUAGAGAGAGAAAAUAAGGGUUCAGACUGAAAGAAGAGAGAGAAGAGAGAGAAACUCUCUCUCUCAUCA